UCAGACUUAUACCCUUGAGAUCAGUAAUUGACCAACCGAUGGCACCUUUGUUUUCUUUGAGAAUUUCCACCAAUUUUCUUUCUUCCUCUUGAGAUAAUGAAGCACUAAUAAUAACAGGUUUAUUUUCUUUAUCCUCCAAGAACACAUACUUAAGGUGUGAUGGCAAUUCCUUCAGUUCAAUCUUACUGUCCGAAGCUUUUUCUGUACGAUCCAUCUAUUCGAAGAGUGCUUUUUCUGGUGAAACUUCUUUUGCUGCUUCCAGUUCCUGUAUACAUUUCUGAUGGAACUUAUCCUCCUCCUCGUUCAGAUCCUCACAUUCGUUAGUCAAAUUUCUUUCUAGCAUGGAUAUGUUACGAACUUUAUUCUCUUGUCUCAUACAAAUUUCUUCUGUAACGCCCCGGCAACUUACAGGGACUGUUGACUGCCCCCACACAUCACCACGAGACUUUCCAGUGUGCUUUGUCCUCACUCGCAC
rnacentral:lncRNA from 1 species